rnacentral:rRNA from 1 species
UACGGGGGGGGUAAGCGUUGUUCGGAAUUACUGGGCGUAAAGGGCUCGUAGGCGGCCAACUAAGUCAGACGUGAAAUCCCUCAGCUUAACUGGGGAACUGCGUCUGAUACUGGAUGGCUUGGAUUCGGGAGAGGAAUGCGGAAUUCCAGGUGUAGCGGUGAAAUGCGUAGAUAUCGAGAGGAACACCUGCGGCGAAGGCGGGUUGCUGGGCUGAUACUGACGCUGAGGCGCGAAAGCCAGGGGAGCGAACGGG